GGGGGGGGGGGGGGGGGGGGGGGGGGGGGGGGGGGGGGGGGGGGGGGGGGGGGGGCGUGGGCGGUCGGACGUUCGCGGCGGACGGGGGGGUAGCACGUGGGUAACCUACCUAUAAGACUGGGAUAACUUCGGGGAACCGGCGCUCAUGCCGGCUAAGAUUUACCUUCGCCUGACGCACUAGUGACAGCCGGUUCUGCUGUCACGUAUAGAUGUGCCCGCGGUGUCUUAGCUAGUUGGUGAGGUAACUGCUCACCAAGGCAACGAUCCAUCGCCGACCUGCGAGGGUGAUCGGCCACACUGGGACUGAGACACGGCCCAGACUCCUACGGGAGGCAGCAGUAGGGAAUCUUCCGCAAUGGACGAAAGUCUGACGGAGGAAUGCCGCGUGAGUGAAGAAGGUUUUCGGAUCGUAAAACUCUGUUGUAAGGGAAGAACAAGUACGUUAGUAACUGAACGUACCUUGACGGUACCUUACCAGAAAGCCACGGCUAACUACGUG
rnacentral:rRNA from 1 species